UCAAACUCCUGACCUCAAGUGAUUCAGCCGCCUCGCCUCCCAAAGUGCUGGGAUUACAGGUGUGAGGCACCACAUCCGACCUCUGCUCUUCCUCAAAGGCCACCAAAUCAUGCCAGCUAACUGUGCAAAGAUGUUAGCCUGAUAGUCAAAGCUCUUCCCAGACUCUUAUAAACAUAGAAGAACAUAGCGGUUAAGAACAUGAGCUCUGCAGCAGGAUUACACGGAUUCCAAUCUCAGCUCAGCCACAUACUAGCUGUGUGAUGUUGGAUGAGAACAUUGAGGCCUAGGGCAUUUCAAUAGCUUGCCAAAGGGCUCAUCAUUCUCGGGUAACAGGAUGAGGCCAGACACCAAGGAUCCCUGGAUCCAUGCCCUACUCUCCACACUUGUCUUGGGUCUAUGAAGCCCCCAGUCCCAAGGUAAGUCAUGUCAUUGUGGAAAUUAAUUGCAACCUUUCAUGAUUGUCCGAUCCCAUCUAUGGGUUUCAAGGAAGAUUAUGAAGUCCUUAGAACCACAAUGUGUCUAAUUUUUAUUCUGUAUUUUAUUUAUUUUUAAAUGUCUGAGAUGCUGAGAACCUGAGAUAUCACUCAUCUCAUCUUCCUGAAUUUUAUGAACUAAGAAGCGAAAGCUCACCCAAAGCCAUUUAUAGAGUCUAUGGAAAAAGAAGGACUAGACCCUGGAUUCCGUGAUUUACAGAGAUAUAAAGGGUGGCUGGUGCCAUUCUUCCAAAAGGAAAGCUGUCAUCUUUACUCACUCAGUCCUCAGCAAACUAUCUGAGCACUAUUUUUGUGCCUCAUCUGGGAGCUGGGGAGUCAGUGAUGGGCAAGAUAUGGUCUUUACUUGCAAAAUUCCCAUAGCACAUUGGAGAAGAAAAAACAGCAAUCAGGUAUGUGCGCUACAGGGGGGUGCAUGCUGCAACCACCAGCAUCAACAACAACAUGCAUUGAAUGCUUCAUGUAUAUCAAGUGCUCUCUCUCCUAAGAGAUAUGAAUGCAUUAACCCCAUUUACUCCUCAAGACUAGAAACAAACACUUUAUAAUUUGCUACGGACUGAAAAUUUGUGUCCCCCUAAAAUGUAUAUGUGGAAGUCUUAAUCCCCAAUGUGAUGAUAUUUGGAGGCGGGGCCUUGGGACAUAAUUGGGGUAGGGUGAGGUCAUGAGGGUGAAAACCCCAUACUGGGAUUGGUGCCCUUAGAAAGGUAUAAAGGGACUGGAGCAUGCAGUUUCUCUCUCUCUCUCUCUCUGUUUCUCUCUCUCUCUCUCUCCCUCCGCCGUAUGAGCACGCAGCAAGAAAGCGGCUGUGUGGCAACCAGGAAGACAGCCUUUAUCAGAAUCCAGCCAUAUUGGUGCCCUGAUCUCAGACUUUCCAGCCUCCAGAACUGUAAGAAAUAGAUGUUCACUGUUUAAGUGCCCCAGUCUAUGGUAUUCUAUGAUAGCAGCCCAAACUGACUAAGACAUCAUUUCUUUUAUCAGAUGAGGAAACCAAUACAUAGAAAGACUUUUAAAUUUUCCCUAAACAAUGGAAGUACAUGCUAAGUGCAAUAGGGGUAUGUAGAAAAGAGUGUUCAGAUUUUAGGGAGAUUUCCAGAAAAGGCCUCUUCAUGCUGGAGAUGGCUUUUUUUAAAUAAUGGAAGGGAGUUCCCAAGGCAAUGGUUGAGCAGUGGAGUGGGAGCCCAGGUAAGAGUAUGCAGGUGGUAGAAACAAAAUAUUCUAAGACAGACGGGCACAAAACAGCAUGGCUUAUUUGGGGAACUACAAGUACCUCUAUGUUGCUGAUGCCUGAUGUUCUAGAGGACACAUUUCAAGGCAGGAACAAGCUGAGGGCAUAUCUCAACCUCCCCUUCCUCAGGGGCACUCAUCCUUCAUCCCUUUAGCAGUUUUACUCAGCAUUUGUUCUAGGAUGCCAGGCUGUGAGGUAAGACAGGUAAGUGAGACUCAGCCUCUACCCUCAGAGUUCACAAUCUAAUGGGAAAACUAAAUUAUCAUAAAGAUAGCAUUACAAAUGCAGUGCUUGACAUAUGCCUGGAGCACUAUGAGACUGUAGGUGAGAAGCAACGAAAAGAGGACAAUCCGGAGAAGGUAGCAGCUGUGCUGUCUCUUAAAGUCUGACCAGGUAGUCCAGGUGUUCCCUGUGUUUGAGGUCAAGGGGCAGCAGGAGAAGAUGCAACAGAAAAGCACACAGCACGAGCAAAGCCACAUAGCUGAAAAACAGCUAUCACCUGCAACAGCUUCUGCUGCUACAAUACCUGUACUCCUCUUAGAUUUUAUUCCAGUAUCAGCCAACAACGUGAUCUGACAGGACAGUCCCAGCCCUAGGAAAUGAACUAUGAUUCGUGCAGACCGAUCGAAGUCAUACCAUACAGCGAUGGAUUUGGGCAUGUGGGCCAGUUGGGAUCAAGGGAAAGGAAGCAUUUCCAUUUUGAUCAAUGGGGGGAUUCUGGGAAAGUCUUCUGCCCGUAAAAAGAAACAAGCCAGGAAAAACGUCCCCUUCCUCCCUGUAGACAUGGCUAUGAACGGCAGGAUGCCUGAAACUGUCCAGGCUUGUUAUGAUGGAGAGACACACUGCACAGGGUGGGGGAAAGGGGAAAUAUACCCUAAGAAUGGUAGACCAGAAAGAUGUAAAGCAUCUGUAUCCUUGUUGAAAUUAUAGUGCCUCCCAAUUAACAUACCUAGAACUGUUUACCUCUGGACAUUUCAUUAUGUGAGAUAUUAAAGACCUGUGUA
rnacentral:lncRNA from 1 species